ACCGACCUUUUCACAACAAAGUGUCAAGUUCCCAGUAUGAAGAGCGCACUGGCUAGCACCACGGAGCGUGAAUUGGGACAAUGACCCAACACACCUCCAGGCUGUGCAAGGGCUAUUUGACCAAGAAGGGGAGUGAUGGAGUGCUGCAUCAGAUGACCUGGCCUCCACAAUCACCCGACAUCAACCAAUCUGAGAUGGUUUGGGAUGAGUUGGACCGCAGAGUGAAUGUUAAGCAGCCAACAGGUGCUCAGCAUAUGUGGGAACUCCUUCAAGACUGUUGGAAAACCAUUCCAGGUGAAGUUGUUUGAGAGAAUACCAAGAGUGUGCAAAGCUGUCAUCAAGGCAAAGGGUGGCUACUUUGAAGAAUUUAAAUUCUAAAAUAUAUUUUGAUUUGUUUAACACUUUAGUGGUUACUACAGAUAUGUGUUAUUUCAUAUUUUGAUAUCUUCACUUAUUAUUCUACAAUGUAAAAAUAAAGAAAACCCUUUAAUGACUAGG